rnacentral:rRNA from 1 species
GUAGGUGGCAAGCGUUGUCCGGAAUUAUUGGGGCGUAAAGCGCGCGCAGGCGGUUCUUUAAGUCUGAUGUGAAAGCCCACGGGCUCAACCGUGGAGGGUCAUUGGAAACUGGAGAACUUGAGUACAGAAGAGGAAAGCGGAAUUCCACGUGUAGCGGUGAAAUGCGUAGAGAUGUGGAGGAACACCAGUGGCGAAGGCUGCUUUCUGGUCUGUAACUGACGCUGAGGCGCGAAAGCGUGGGGAGCAAACAGGAUUAGAUACCCUGGUAGUCCACGCCGUAAACGAUGAGUGCUAAGUGUUAGGGGGUUUCCGCCCCUUAGUGCUGCAGCUAACGCAUUAAGCACUCCGCCUGGGGAGUACGGCCGCAAAGGCUG